UCUUACUGCGUACUUCAUUCCUACUGUUUGCGACUUUUUGGAAAUCUUUCCGGAAGAACUACCCGAUCUGCCUCCCCAAUAAGAGAUAGAGUUUUCUAUUGAUUUCACUAUAUACAUUUAUCUACACUCACAUUUGUUUCUGUAUCUGGCACUCUUAUACUUUAAUUAGCAUUAAGAUGUCACAAAAGUGACCAAACAUCAUCUCAAAACUCUGCCAGAUUUUUGAGUGGAAAAUGUCAUAAAUAAAGUUAGAACUCUGUUGAAUUAAGAUUACGACGACUGAAGACCUAAGGUAAGUGGAUAUUAUGGAUUCAUACCCUAUGUAG
rnacentral:lncRNA from 1 species